GGGGAUUUAGCUCAGUGGGAGAGCGCUUGCCUAGGAAGCGCAAGGCCCUGGGUUCGGUUCCCAGCUCCG
rnacentral:tRNA from 1 species